GACGAACGCUGGCGGCGUGCUUAACACAUGCAAGUCGAACGGAAAGGCCCUGCUUUUGUGGGGUGCUCGAGUGGCGAACGGGUGAGUAACACGUGAGUAACCUGCCCUUGACUUUGGGAUAACUUCAGGAAACUGGGGCUAAUACCGGAUAGGAGCUCCUGCUGCAUGGUGGGGGUUGGAAAGUUUCGGCGGUUGGGGAUGGACUCGCGGCUUAUCAGCUUGUUGGUGGGGUAGUGGCUUACCAAGGCUUUGACGGGUAGCCGGCCCGAGAGGGUGACCGGCCACAUUGGGACUGAGAUACGGCCCAGACUCCUACGGGAGGCAGCAGUGGGGAAUAUUGCACAAUGGGCGGAAGCCUGAUGCAGCAACGCCGCGUGCGGGAUGACGGCCUUCGGGUCGUAAACCGCUUUCGCCUGUGACGAAGCGUGAGUGACGGUAAUGGGUAAAGAAGCACCGGCUAACUACGUG
rnacentral:rRNA from 1 species